UCAUCCAAUCUUAACAACUGCCCAUCUGCAAAGUCACAGCAGUGCCAGAGGAAAGUGGGGAGACCCCUGAUACCAGAAAUAGCAAUCUGGGCACAGGUCCCCUCCCGUCUCCAGGGCUGGCUCAGAAAUUGGCCAAGUUUCCAGAUUUGGAGAAAACCUGCAAGAUGAGUGCAUGCUUUGGUGGUGACAGGUGGACAGGGUAAGUCCCUGGGGGAUAUCUACCCACCUUCGGUGAAGGAGCCCCAGCAAGGAUGAAAAUUAGGUUCCUUGCAAGUCAGUAGAGACUCCACAUCUAACUUGAAUUCGCUUAACAGAGAUUUAAGAAAGUUGGUAUUUCUGGUAAACCUGAAUUUGUUGGCUUCAACCGAUUCCUUGAUACCCGCCACCCACACCUGUCCGCCUCAUUGGAACGCAACGCUUUGUCAAACCUGACUCUUAAGUGUGCUGGUUCUUGAGAUAUACAGAUGGGGUGGAUUUCAACCCAUUCUUGGAAAGGCAUUGCUCAAAUCCAACUAAAAUUCAUCCACUGAUCCCUCUGCUACUGGGUCCGGUUUACAGGGAAACUAACCAAUAGUCAGCCAGUUGUUGAAAGACCAAUUGAUGGAACAAAAAGCAUGACAGUCCCAAGAGGUCAACGCUUCCAGAAAAGCCCUUCGUGGGAUCAGAAGCCCCUAGAAAACUCGGCGGUACCAAGCUAGCCCAACUGGGCAAUGUGGGAGUGACCCGUUGCAUAGAGGGGCCAACAGUUCAGAGACACUAAGUGGCUGUCCUGAGUCACCGCGUCAUAAGCAGCAGAGCGAGUUUCAGAAUAUUACAUCCGAACACUAUUUGAGCUGCAGCGAGAAGCUGUUGGUGCAGAAUGAUGGGGGGAUCGGCACAAAUUUCGGAGACCCCAACGUGCCUCCUUACAUACAGCGUCUCCACAGAAGUUCCCCACUUACCCCGUGUGGCCCAGGAGAGGCGCGGGCUCUCAUCGGAUCAUCAACAUCUUCCCCAGACAACGUGGGUGGCAAGGGUAAUAAUAGCAGUUUUAGUUGUUAUUUCUACAGCACGAACUAUGUGCCAGGUGCUGG